rnacentral:rRNA from 1 species
UACGUAGGGGGCAAGCGUUGUCCGGAUUUACUGGGCGUAAAGGGCGCGUAGGCGGCCACUGCAAGUCGGUUGUGAAAUCUCCGGGCUUAACCCGGAAAGGUCAAUCGAUACUGCAGGGCUAGAGUGCAGAAGGGGCAACUGGAAUUCUCGGUGUAGCGGUGAAAUGCGUAGAUAUCGAGAGGAACACCUGCGGCGAAGGCGGGUUGCUGGGCCGACACUGACGCUGAGUGCGCGAAAGCCAGGGGAGCAAACGGG